rnacentral:snoRNA from 1 species
AAGCACCACUCUGUGGCAUAUAAAAAAAACCAUCUGACACAACUUGAGCUUGUUCUAGCAAAAAUGUCUAACCUAUUCCAGUGUUCUCUUCCCUACAAAACAAGCUACCAUAUAGGCUCAAACAAU